CACAAACAUAACCUCACAUCCAAAUAUAAAUAUAACAGGAAGCAAUAAUCACUAUUCCUUACUAUCUCUCAACAUCAGUGGUCUCAACUCCUCAAUAAAAAGAUAUAGAUUAACAAACUGGAUACGCAACGAGGACCCUGCAUUUUGCUGCCUACAGGAAACACACCUCAGAGAAAAAGACAGACACUACAUCAGAAUUAAAGGCUGGAAAUCAACUUUCCAAACAAAUGGUCGGAAGAAGCAAGCUGGAGUAGCCAUUCUAAUAUCAAAUAAAAUCAAUUUUCAACUAAAAUUCAUCAAAAAGAUAAGGAAGGACACUUCAUAUUU
rnacentral:lncRNA from 1 species